GAUCAAAUACUUUUUCCCCCUCACUCUUUUUUGGAAAGGAAAGAAUAAGGUGCAGUGGUCUCUUCAUUUUUUUCCAGAGAUGUGUGUGUAUAUAUAUAUGAGUUAAAUGAUGUGAGGCGCUGUGUAAAUUACUUAUUGCACUGGAAUCUGAGGCACAGAGAGAACAAAACAUUCAGUUGAUGUUAAACUACCGAACUGACAUAGCAAUGCUCCAUGCAAAUAAAAUGGAGCAAAAUAAGUCUUUCUAGUGAGACCGUGCUGACGGACCAGAACCGUAUCCACAGUGUUGUAGUGAGACCAUGGUGAUGGACCAGAACCGUAUCCACAGAGGUUUAGUGAGACAUUGGUGACGGACCAGAACCGUAUCCACAGAGGUUUAGUGAGACAUUGGUGAUGGACCAGAACCGUAUCCACAGAGUACCUAAAGAAGUCAGCACUUUUUGACUAAGUUGAUUAUUACCCUGUUGAUUAGUUCUCCUGGGUUCUGAACCCUGUUGAUUAGUUCUCCUGGGUUCUGAACCCUGUUGAUUAGUUCACCUGGGUUCUGAACCCUGUUGAUUAGUUCACCUGGGUUCUGAACCCUGUUGAUUAGUUCUCCUGGGUUCUGAACCCUGUUGAUUAGUUCUCCUGGGUUCUGAACCCUGUUGAUUAGUUCUCCUGGGUUCUGAACCCUGUUGAUUAGUUCUCCUGGGUUCUGAACCCUGUUGAUUAGUUCACCUGGGUUCUGAACCCUGUUGAUUAGUUCUCCUGGGUUCUGAACCCUGUUGAUUAGUUCUCCUGGGUUCUGAACCCGGUACAUUAGUUCUCCUGGGUUCUGAACCCCGUUGAGCAGUUGACCUGGGCUCUAAACACUUGUUUCACAUAAAGUGUCUCCAUUCUGUGAGUAGGACUUUGGUCAGAUUGGACCACAUUGCUCUGUACUGAAACUGAUUAUUGACUUGACCCAUUCAUUUAACAUGAUUCCAAUGUUAUUUUCUUCUUGUACUGGUAAUGUGCAUUACAUAACUUAUUGUUUGUUGUCUAUUUAUUUUUAAUGUUUGUUGUCUAGGAGAAAUAUUUAUUCCAAUUGAAUUGAAAUCAUGUCAAUUCUUCUGAAUGCAUUUUGAAUAAAAUGAUAUUUAAAGCUGA